ensembl:lncRNA
AAUAUGUUGCUGGCAUAUUCAAAAUGGGCAUAUCUUUUUUCAAAAACAAGAACUUUUCUUUCUUUCUUUGUACUAUUUUCAAUGAAAUAUAAGGAUGCAAUGAAUUCCACAUUUAGGCAUUCUAUUUCUAUUUGCAUUUUUUGCAGCGUCACAACUUUUUUGCAAACGGGUUUGUAAUUUUAUUUGAAAGAUUAUAAUUUACAGGUAAAUUACAGUAUUUAAACUAAUGUUUAAUACAUGCACAGCAUAGCAAUGUUGAAUAUAAUUACAUAUAAAGCUUUCAUUUGAUUAUAAUUUUUCAGUAAAAUAAACAUAUAUUCCUGACAGUCAAAUUGCUAAAUAAUGACAUUAUUGCCAUCUUUUAGGACCAGAAGACACUGUGAAGACACCUGUCAUUCAGAUGACACCUGACAGUAAAGUUGAUCUUGAGGGUAAUAUAGUAAAUGGAAAACAUAUUCUUAUCCUUACAAGAUUAUCAGAUAGAUGUAUUGUUAUUAACCUAAUGUGUGUGAUACAUAUAUCAAAUAAUAACAAUAAGGCAUUUUGAAAUCUUUACUUUGAAAAUCAAACGUAAUUAAAAUGUAAUAUGUAUUACAGAAAAUUGCAGUAUAUCUAUACUUAACUGAUGUUUUAGGUCCAGGGCAGAUAUCUACUGAACAGACUGGUGAGGAAGUUCAUCAAGAAGGCUAAGUGAAACCGGAAACACAAACUGUAUUUAAUGAUGAAUCAUAUUAUCAAUAUAGUAUGAAAAUAAAACAAAGAAAAAACAAUAGAUUGACAUUAUAUAACACAAUUAAUUUAAUUUUGUAAUGAUUCUUUUACAGUUAAUUUCAGUUGAAUUACAGGAAGAACAGAAAAUGGAAGUUAUACAUUGCAUUUUGAUCUCUCAGUGAAAUGCUAACACAUGAAAAAUACAACAAACCUAUUUUCGAGAAAGCAAUCAAAUUUAUUUCAUGAAGCCUUUUAACAUCCGCACAUGGUAUUGUAUAGCCCUAUACCUAAAUUUCACAUUUUAAAAUAAUUGAUUUUCCUUUUUGUAUUCAACAGAGACAAAAAGCCUAAGAGAAGAAAACACAGUGAAGAUAUAUACUGAACAGACAGCAUCUGGUAGAGAAAUUGAUCUGGAAGGCCCGGAAAACAAAAUGCAGACACCAGACAAUCAGUUGACAGCUGAUAAAAAAGUUGAUCUGGAAGGUAAAGUGAUUGUUGGAAAACAUUUACUUAUGCUUAGAAAAUUAUUAUUUAUGGGUAAUCAAAUUUAAUAUACCUAAAAAGGAUGGUAAUUUUCAAUAAUAACAAUAAUAAUUACUUCAAAACAACAAAGGUGCACGAAUGGCAUGAAUAUGGCACAAACAAAGACCCACUCAGGGGUGUGGAUGGGAUGCCCAAUUAGAGGCAAUGCAAGGCAGCAGCCUCAAAUUGGGGACAACCAAAAACCAAAGUGCGGAAAUCCCUAGAGUCAUCCCUUCUGCCAGGCCCAGACUAUCACCCCGACCCGCAUAGAGAUGGCUAGGGGCAUCCCUAUAGUCACGACCUGACAUAAUGUUAAUCCAUGGCACCCACAUAAUAUGUUUAAUACAUUAGGAAUUGGCUAAAAUGUAACAUAUCUUAUAACAUAUAAUAUGAUACGAACACCAGACAAACGUAUCAUAUUUUACGAACGGUAUGAAAACAUAUCAUUCAUUACACAUUUGCAUUUUUAACUCCUGAAUUUAAUAAUCAUACUACAGUAAAAUAUAAAUAUUCUUGACAAUCAAUUGCAAUAUAAUGACCUAAAUGUGAUCUUUUUGGCCCAGACAAUAAAGUGCAGACACUGGUCAAUAAGACAAAAGCUUAUAAUAUAGAAGAUGUGAAAGAUAAAGUGAUGGAUGGAAAACAUUUACUUAUACUAUGCAAAUUAUCAUGUACAUAUAAUGUAUUUAACCAAAUAUGUGGUAUACACAAACAAGACAGGAAUGUACAUAAUAAUAAUAACAUAAUGUAUGUAAUAAUAAUAUGAAUUCCUUUUUUUUGAAAAUUAUACUUAAUUAAAAUCAAAUAUUCAUGAAAAUAAUUUGCUAUUCAUUCAUUUAUAUCUGAUUUUGUAUGUGUAG